AUGGACGACGACUUCGGCUGCGUGAUCGGCGUCGCCGGGAGGGGAGAAUUCGCGGUGGUGGCGUCGGGAACCCCCAUCGUGCACCUCGACGCCCACAGGCUUCUCGCCAUCUCCGGCAACCACCAGAACCGCGCAAGGUUCGCGAGGACGAUGUGCCGCAGAUGGAAGGGGCUGACCGGCGUCCCGUACCCCGACACCGCCACGGUCGCCGACCUCGCGCGCGAGCUGCUCGACCGCGGCCACUCCGUCGAGGCCCUGGUCGUGGGCUACAACCAGGCCCAGCCCCACGCGGCGGUGAGCUGCCUCGGCCCCGCGCUCCCGCGCGGCCAGUUCCUGUUCGGGGCCGCGGGCCGGGGUGCGGAGGCCUGCAGGGCGGUGCUGCGCCGGGGCUACCGCGACACCAUGUCGUCGAGCGACGUGAUCGAGCUCGUGGAGAGCUGCAUCGCGGAGAUCCGCCGGCUCGGGGUUCCCGGGGCUGCCGGCGAGUUUGCGGUCCAGUAUGUCGACAGAUGGGGAGCGGCGCCCGUGGGAAGGGAGGUCAGGGAGACGAUGACUAUCUAUCGACAGAUGGCACUCGAAGUGUUAAAAUCACAUGGUGAAGGAGGAUCUAGUGGAUCAUCUUAG
rnacentral:rRNA from 1 species